AUGGGACGAGCGCGGAAGUCCUGUCCAAUCAACCAGAGAAGGCCGGGAUCACCUAUGAGCAGCGACAGGGACGGACGUCAGCUGAAGCAGCACCUCUGCUCCAAUCGCUGGAGCAUGGACCCUCCAUUGUGGCUAGCCUCUGACAGAGGCGGCAGACAGGGUGGCGUAGUUUGGGAGGGGCGAGGCGUUGCCCAUGAAGUAGGAGGCCGAGGGAAGAUGCAGCAUCAGGGGAGGCCAGUCCUAGCGGCAGGGGCCGAGGGUGCCGGCGGCAUGGGGGAUGAAGAGCCAGUGCCGUGA
rnacentral:rRNA from 1 species